rnacentral:rRNA from 1 species
UUCCGGUUGAUCCUGCCGGAGGUUACUGCUAUCGAGGUUCGACUAAGCCAUGCGAGUCGAAUGUAGCAAUACAUGGCGAACUGCUCAGUAACACGUGGACAACCUGCCCUUAGGACGGGGAUAAACCCGGGAAACUGGGUAUAAUACCCGAUAGGUCUCGAUUGCUGGAAUGCAUCGAGAUUUAAAGCUCCGGCGCCUAAGGAUGGGUCUGCGGCCUAUCAGGUAGUAGUGGGUGUAGCGUACCUACUAGCCUACGACGGGUACGGGUUGUGAGAGCAAGAGCCCGGAGAUGGAUUCUGAGACACGAAUCCAGGCCCUACGGGGUGCAGCAGGCGCGAAAACUUUACAAUGCUGGCAACAGCGAUAAGGGAACCUCGAGUGCCAGGUUACAAAUCUGGCUGUCGAGAUGCCUAAAAAGCAUUUCAUAGCAAGGGCCGGGCAAGACCGGUGCCAGCCGCCGCGGUAACACCGGCGGCUCGAGUGGUAACCGUUAUUAUUGGGUCUAAAGGGUCUGUAGCCGGCCGGAUAAGUCUCUUGAGAAAUCUGGCAGCUUAACUGUCAGGCUUUCAGGGGAUACUGUCUGGCUCGAGGCCGGGAGAGGUGAGAGGUACUUCAGGGGUAGGGGUGAAAUCUUGUAAUCCUUGAAGGACCACCAGUGGCGAAGGCGUCUCACCAGAACGGACCUGACGGCAAGGGACGAAAGCUAGGGGCACGAACCGGAUUAGAUACCCGGGUAGUCCUAGCCGUAAACGAUACUCGCUAGGUGUCGGCCACGGUGCGACCGUUGUCGGUGCCGUAGGAAGCCGCGAAGCGAGCCACCUGGGGAAGUACGGCC